ensembl:snRNA U6 U6 spliceosomal RNA
GUGUCUGUUUGGGCAGCACAUACACUAAAAUUGGAAUGAUACAGAGAAUGUUGUCAUGGCCCCUGUGGAAGGAUAACACACAAAUCUGUGAAGAAUUCAAUUAAAAAUAUUU